rnacentral:rRNA from 1 species
UGGGGAAUAUUGGACAAUGGGCGAAAGCCUGAUCCAGCCAUGCCGCGUGAGUGAUGAAGGCCCUAGGGUUGUAAAGCUCUUUUAGCGGGGAAGAUAAUGACGGUACCCGCAGAAUAAGCCCCGGCUAACUUCGUGCCAGCAGCCGCGGUAAUACGAAGGGGGCUAGCGUUGCUCGGAAUCACUGGGCGUAAAGGGCGCGUAGGCGGCCAUUCAAGUCGGGGGUGAAAGCCCAGGGCUCAACCCUGGAAUUGCCUUCGAUACUGUUUGGCCAGAGACCGGAAGAGGUAAGUGGAACUGCGAGUGUAGAGGUGAAAUUCGUAGAUAUUCGCAAGAACACCAGUGGCGAAGGCGGCUUACUGGUCCGGUUCUGACGCUGAGGCGCGAAAGCGUGGGGAGCAAACAGG